rnacentral:rRNA from 1 species
CAUGCAAGUCGAGCGAAUGGAUUGAGAGCUUGCUCUUCAUGAAGUUAGCGGCGGAUGGGUGAGUAACACGUGGGUAACCUGCCCAUAAGACUGGGAUAACUCCGGGAAACCGGGGCUAAUACCGGAUAACAUUUUGAACUGCAUGGUUCGAAAUUGAAAGGCGGCUUCGGCUGUCACUUAUGGAUGGACCCGCGUCGCAUUAGCUAGUUGGUGAGGUAACGGCUCACCAAGGCAACGAUGCGUAGCCGACCUGAGAGGGUGAUCGGCCACACUGGGACUGAGACACGGCCCAGACUCCUACGGGAGGCAGCAGUAGGGAAUCUUCCGCAAUGGACGAAAGUCUGACGGAGCAACGCCGCGUGAGUGAUGAAGGCUUUCGGGUCGUAAAACUCUGUUGUUAGGGAAGAACAAGUGCUAGUUGAAUAAGCUGGCACCUUGACGGUACCUAACCAGAAAGCCACGGCUAACUACGUGCCAGCAGCCGCGGUAAUACGUAGGUGGCAAGCGUUAUCCGGAAUUAUUGGGCGUAAAGCGCGCGCAGGUGGUUUCUUAAGUCUGAUGUGAAAGCCCACGGCUCAACCGUGGAGGGUCAUUGGAAACUGGGAGACUUGAGUGCAGAAGAGGAAAGUGGAAUUCCAUGUGUAGCGGUGAAAUGCGUAGAGAUAUGGAGGAACACCAGUGGCGAAGGCGACUUUCUGGUCUGUAACUGACACUGAGGCGCGAAAGCGUGGGGGAGCAAACAGGAUUAGAUACCCUGGUAGUCCACGCCGUAAACGAUGAGUGCUAAGUGUUAGAGGGUUUCCGCCCUUUAGUGCUGAAGUUAACGCAUUAAGCACUUCCGCCUGGGGAGUACGGCCGCAAGGCUGAAACUCAAAGGAAUUGACGGGGGCCCGCCACAAGCGGGUGGAGCAUGUGGUUUAAUUCGAAGCAACGCGAAGAACCUUACCAGGUCUUGACAUCCUCUGAAAACCCUAGAGAUAGGGCUUCUCCUUCGGGAGCAGAGUGACAGGUGGUGCAUGGUUGUCGUCAGCUCGUGUCGUGAGAUGUUGGGUUAAGUCCCGCAACGAGCGCAACCCUUGAUCUUAGUUGCCAUCAUUAAGUUGGGCACUCUAAGGUGACUGCCGGUGACAAACCGGAGGAAGGUGGGGAUGACGUCAAAUCAUCAUGCCCCUUAUGACCUGGGCUACACACGUGCUACAAUGGACGGUACAAAGAGCUGCAAGACCGCGAGGUGGAGCUAAUCUCAUAAAACCGUUCUCAGUUCGGAUUGUAGGCUGCAACUCGCCUACAUGAAGCUGGAAUCGCUAGUAAUCGCGGAUCAGCAUGCCGCGGUGAAUACGUUCCCGGGCCUUGUACACACCGCCCGUCACACCACGAGAGUUUGUAACACCCGAAGUCGGUGGGGUAACCUUUUUGGAGCCAGCCG